AACGAACGCUGGCGGCAUGCCUAACACAUGCAAGUCGAACGAGAGCUCCGGGUCUUGUGGCGCAUGGGUGCGUAACGCGAGGGAAGCUGCACAUAGGGUCGGAAUAACUCUCCGAAAGGGGUGCUAAUACCGGAUAAUGUCUACGGCCCAAAAAUUUAUCGCACUUGGAUGGGCCCGCGUUGGAUUCGCUAGUUGGUUGGGUAAAAGCCUGAUAAGGCGACCAUUCGUAGCUGGUCUGUGAGAAGGGGCAGCCACUCCUGGACUGAGACGCGGCCCGGAAUCCUACGGAAGGCGGCAGUGCGUGAUAUAGCACAGUCGGCUGAGUCCUGAACGACCUCGGCCGCGUGAGCGAUGUUGUCCGUAGGGUAGUAAUGCGCUUUUACCCGGGCUGAUAAUGACGGUACCGGGAGAAUAAGCUCCGGCUAACUACGUG
rnacentral:rRNA from 1 species